rnacentral:rRNA from 1 species
ACGAACGCUGGCGGCAUGCCUAACACAUGCAAGUCGAACGAGACCUUCGGGUCUAGUGGCGCACGGGUGCGUAACGCGUGGGAAUCUGCCCUUAGGUUCGGAAUAACAGUUAGAAAUGACUGCUAAUACCGGAUGAUGACUUCGGUCCAAAGAUUUAUCGCCUAAGGAUGAGCCCGCGUAGGAUUAGCUUGUUGGUGAGGUAAAGGCUCACCAAGGCUACGAUCCUUAGCUGGUCUGAGAGGAUGAUCAGCCACACUGGGACUGAGACACGGCCCAGACUCCUACGGGAGGCAGCAGUGGGGAAUAUUGGACAAUGGGCGAAAGCCUGAUCCAGCAAUGCCGCGUGAGUGAUGAAGGCCUUAGGGUUGUAAAGCUCUUUUACCCGGGAUGAUAAUGACAGUACCGGGAGAAUAAGCUCCGGCUAACUCCGU